rfam:Yersinia ruckeri strain 37551 YRO1b0000041, whole genome shotgun sequence.
AUACUGCACGAUUCGUGUGGGUGAGAUCCUGCGUUCAGGUUCGAGCCGAGCGAAGCGAGACAGCAACGCGAACGCGUUGACCCGAAGGGCGAGGCCAACGGCCGAGUCAUCCCGCACGACCAUGGA